CGGGGCGUAGCUCAAUGGUAGAGCCGCCGAGUAAGCAACGGAGGGUUACAGGUUCGAAUCCUGUCGCCCCGGCCA
rnacentral:tRNA from 1 species